UACGUAGGGUCCGAGCGUUUGUCCGGAGUUACUGGGCGUAAAGGGCGCGCAGGUGGCGGUGCUGGCCCGGCGUGAAAGCCCCCGGCUCAACCGGGGAGGGUCGUCGGGGACCGCACCGCUUGAGGGCGGUAGGGGCUGGUGGAAUGCCUGGUGUAGUGGUGAAAUGCGUAGAGAUCAGGCGGAACACCCGUAGCGAAGGCGGCCAGCUGGGCCGACCCUGACACUGAGGCGCGAAGGCGUGGGGAGCGAACGGG
rnacentral:rRNA from 1 species